UUUGCAACAUGGAUGAACCUCGAUGUCAUUAUGCUAAGUGAAACAAGCCAGACACAGCAAGAAAAAUACUGCAUGAUCUCUUAUGUGGAUUCUAAAAAAGUCAAAUACAUAGAAGCAGAGUAGAACAGUGGUUACCAGGGGUGGAGACGUAUGGAAAUGGUUAAGAUGUUGGUCAAAGGAUACAAAGUUGCAGUUCUAUAGGAUGAAUAAGUCUAGAGAUGUAAUGCAUAGCAUAACUAUAGUUAAUACUGCAUUGUGCAUUGGAAACUUGCGGAGAGUACAUUUCAUGCGCUCUCACCACUUACACAAAAUAGUAACUGUGAAGAGAUGUAUUAUGUUAAUUAGCUUGACUGUAGAAAUCAUUUCACUGUGUACAUGUAUCAAAACAUCAUGUUGUACACCUUAAAUAUAUAGUUUUUAUUUUUAAAACACUGUUUGGGAUUAAAAGCCCAGCUAAUUCUGCCUUAAUAUCUCAUUCUUAUCCACAAUGUCCACCCAUAAGAAAGACGCCCGAUACUCCGUGUAAACACACACUCCCCAUCUCCCAUACAAAUUUACCUUCUAGAGAGAGCCCUUUUCCCCAAACUCUCCUCUCAAAACACUCUGAAGCACAAGGUCUUUAGCCUAGUUAGACAUUUUCUGAAAAACUUAGUUUAACUCAGCGUAGAGACACCAUGAAUUUCAGAGACCCAGUCCUGGGCCUGCUUCAGUUGCUUUAGCCUAGAGUUUCAACUCCCAGGUCCCGGGGAGGGAUGCUCCAAGGAAGAAAUAGAGGCCCUAUUCCAGGGCUGUUUCUCGCAGACUAGCCACAGAAAAUGCAGCCCAGCGCCACUUCCUUUCAGUAGCAACACGUUUCCAACACGUUUGUUAAGCGGGAACGGAAGUGAGCGGAAAGGAAUGCGUUUGGUAAAUCCCACUUUAAGGAUUUCGUAAUCCUCCCAGGGAUUCCCACCACCCGCACUCCACUCGCAGACUGCGGGCCUUCCUCCGACGCUGGGAGAAGGACCCUGGGAGAGGCAAGGGAAGGGCUCCGGAACCAGCGCAGCAGCGGGACGCUAGCCCGCCCACACGGCGGCCACUUGAAGGUCCUCCAGGGAACACCUGAGGCAGUGGGAGCGUCUGCCCUUUCCUAAGUCUCCUUGGAAAGAAGUAUUCGCUUUCGUUUCCGCAAACAAAGCAUGCUCCGCGCUUUCAGGACCGGUGGCUCCCGUGGAGACCGCAGCGGAACCCAGUCCGCCUUCGCACGCGUCCGGGGGAGAAGCGGCCCCAGGACUAAGGGCGCGCGCCCGAGGAACCGGUGCUGUGACGACCAGAGCAAACACGCCGGAUGUUCCUGUGUAGGCUGUGUAAGGAGUGACCGGAAGUAGAAACUGGGUGCUCCAGUGGCGCAAUCGGUUAGCGCGCGGUACUUAUAUGGCAGUAUGUGUGCGAGUGAUGCCGAGGUUGUGAGUUCGAGCCUCACCUGGAGCAUUGUUUUCCAACCCAAAAUAGCAUUACUUGAAGUGCCUUUCCCCCUGUAAUCCGACUCCAUCGUCUUUAACGUGUUUGGAAUUGUGUACACAGUUUAUUGUUAUUGGUUUCCUUAGCCUUUUUAGAACCAAGCAACGCCAAUUACCAACAAAAUCCGUUGCGCCGCAGUGAGUUAGCUACCUUCUAUCUCCACUUUGUUCUGCACGUCGAUCUCAGGUAAAGAACAUCAUCUCUUUACAUCCUUCUUUCCACUUUGUUCUUAGGAUCAUCGAUCAUCGUUCCUCGGGGAGCCCCUGGCACAUACUUAGUGCUAAGAAACUCCCAUCAGGUGAUAAGCAUUGAACUCCAUUUAAGGAAACUCAAAAGUGGGAAAUAGUAAAAGGUUCCUGUCUGAUUAAAGCUCUGAUUGGGAGGGGUGUGGGGGGACUGAUUUCUGACAACAGUGUCCCCUCCAGUAUUUUUCCCCCACUUAAUUUUACCCUGAUAAAAAUCAACAGUCAUGGAAGAUCUAGCAGCUUCUAUCAACUGAGAAACAGCACCUGGUGUCCUCAGGCAUUCAAUUACCUGGACUUGGAAAAGGAUGAGUGAUAAUAGACCCAGAAACCUGAAAUCUUUAGAACAGCAUUACAAGAAUAAGCAUAUUGUUGUGGCUGAGGUGGGUAGGAAGUAGAUAGGGAUUUUGACUUUAAAAUAGGCUUCCUCUCCCUAUGACACCUGCAGUUUGCCUGGACAUAGCUUUUAUCAUAUGCUUCCCAACUCUUCAGCAAGAGAGGGAAUUGAACUGAGUAAUUGGGAGUUGUUUUCCUAGCUAUAAAGAUUGCCACAAAUCUGAAAGCACAUGUGUCCCACUUGGGACACGGAGGUGAGUGGAAUUAAGCUGAGCACAGAUAACUCUCUCUUGAGAUCUGUAUUCCUAAAUGGGUCUUGCAUGUAUCUGGACAUUGUCCACUCACAGACUCUCUCCUGAGAAAGGUUAGCGAGGUCCCGUUCAGGAAUGCACCAGAUGAUAAUAAAGUGAACACCUUCUCACUUUGUAGCUCUUGCUAAGCCACUGGAGUACCUUAAAAGCUAUCAAAGCAUAAUCUUCAAAUAUAUAUAUAGUAACUAAUCACCAAAUAUUUAUUUAAGUCACUAAUGAGAAAAGGAGGAGUAUGGUAAACUGAUUGCAAUGGCAAUAGAAAAGGCUGGUAAAGGUAUAGUCAGUGGGGGAAAAAUAAUGCUGACAUGAGAUUGCAAGUUUAAGUAAAAAACUAGCUAAUGUCCUAUGAGGCAGUGAAAACUAUGGCCUUUGGGAUUAUUUUUAUCUAAAAGACAGAAACUAGUUGCAUCUUUACUGGGUAAAAAUCAUUCAAAACUUAAUAUUCUACAUAAUGACAUUUAACCUUGUAAUCUAUUUUCUAAUCAUUAGUAAAUAGUGACCUCCAAAAGUUCCAUUAACUUAGAGGAUUACUUGCCCCUUCAGUGGGCUUGUUAGACAAUGCUCUAGUAUUAUUUUGAAAGAGUACUAAUAUCUUUUUUUUUUGCCUUAUAUUAACUUUUGGAUAUUUUUUCUGAAUAGAUUUAGCACCUUAAUUCAAUUAUUUUAUCUCUGUUCCUGAUCAGUUGAAGGUAUUAUUGAGUGUCUUCAGACAGUGUUUAAAAAAUGGUGACCUUUGCCAUAAAGAAUUUUUGUGAACUGGCUUAAGCCAGUUUUGUGAUACACAACUUUGGGUGCUUUUGGUAGAUGUCUGUAGGCAGCUUACUUUAUAGUACUUUAUACUAUACCUUACUUUAUAGUAUAAAGUAAGGGAUAGUUAGCUACAACAUACCAACGAGUUAUAGUGAUAGAAGAUCUUCAACAAAAUUUUGUACAUAUAUAGUCAUUUAUUAGAAAGCAAGCAAAAAACAGUCAUAAAACCUGUUCUCUAAGCUCAAUGAAGUUCCCACGGUUUUGUCAUUUGUUUUUGUUGUUGUCAUUGUUGUUUUACUAACUUCAAAACUACCUUUCAUGAAAGCUUUGCUUGAGGCAAAUGCAACAAUAUUUCAGAGUGAGGAUUCAGCCAAACAUCUCUAAGAAGAAAACCUCUGGACACAGCAGGACACAGAAAUACUGAAAUCUCCAGCCUAGGGCACCAUCCCUCAAGUUAAAGGCUAGAACUCAUUUAAUUUUUAUUCCCUUUGAACAGUGUCUCUUAAAUAUUUAAUUCAUUUUGGGAACCGCUAAUUUACCCAGGGAGACUAUAUUUCUAAUAUUUUUUUCCCUUCACACCAUGGGAUCUUUGUUUCUAAUAUAUUAAUUAACUAAUUAACAAGGACAAAUUUCAUCAAAGAAAACCAGUAUCCAAUAUUCCAUUAUACUAAUUAUGGCAGCCUCUGGUGUUUAUCAAAAAUAAAGAAAACUGAAGUACUUUUGGUGGCCACUUCAGCAGUGUGGUUUUAUUAUGUUAAAUGACAAUCCUCCAGAUUGUGAUAUCAGGGCAAGGGACUGACUCUAGAAUCAUUUAAAAUCAUUUUAAUAUACACAUUCGUAUUAUACAGCACAGUUGAUUAAAUUAUUGCUCCUUCUCUAUAUCCACACCCUUUUUGUGGGUGGAGAGUUUGUCUUCACUUGUGGUAGACUGGAUUCCUGAAAAUGACUGAAACAGUAUCCCUCGUUCCCUUCUGCAAUGUGAGCUUGGCACCUCCUCAGCUAGAAGUAGAGUCUGUUUCCCUUCACCUUGAAUUUGGUUUGGGUUUGUAACUACUGUGAGCAAUGGAAUGCAGUAAAAAUAACAUUUUGUGAUUUCUCAGCCCAGGCAGUAAGAAAACAUAUCAGCUUCCACUUUUACCUUUAAGGAGAAGCCAGCUCCCAUGUUAAGAAGUUCAAAUACCUAGAGACUGCGAUGGUUUGCAGAGGCUCAAGCUAACCACAUGGAAAGACAUGGAGAGAUAUUCCUUGCCAACCCUCAACUACUCCAACUAUUCUAAGACAUCAAACCUAAAAACAAACCGCAGGUCACCCACCGGUCUGAAGAGGAGGAUGAGAGACAAAGAAAAAAGUUGUCUGGCUGCCUCUGCUGUCUACAGAUUGAAGAAGAUCCAUCCAGCUGAGCCCAGCCUAGACCAGCUGACUUCUCCAAUAAGCCUGUAUGAAAUAAAUGCUUAUUGUUAUGUGACCUUGAGCUUUGAAGAUAGUUUGUUAUGCAAUAAUUGUUGAUUCUUUCACCCUGUCUUUGUUGAACUGUUAUAGACGUCUUAAUAGGAGUUCACAAUUCAG
rnacentral:tRNA from 1 species